UACGAAGGGGGCUAGCGUUGCUCGGAAUCACUGGGCGUAAAGGGUGCGUAGGCGGGUCUUUAAGUCAGGGGUGAAAUCCUGGAGCUCAACUCCAGAACUGCCUUUGAUACUGAAGAUCUUGAGUUCGGGAGAGGUGAGUGGAACUGCGAGUGUAGAGGUGAAAUUCGUAGAUAUUCGCAAGAACACCAGUGGCGAAGGCGGCUCACUGGCCCGAUACUGACGCUGAGGAGCGAAAGCAUGGGUAGCGUACAGG
rnacentral:rRNA from 1 species